UACGUAGGUGGCAAGCGUUGUCCGGAUUUACUGGGCGUAAAGCGCGCGCAGGCGGUUCGUUAAGUCCGGUGUGAAAGCUCCCGGCUCAACUGGGAGAGGUCAUCGGAUACUGGCGGACUUGAGGAAGGUAGAGGAAGGUGGAAUUCCCGGUGUAGUGGUGAAAUGCGUAGAGAUCGGGAGGAACACCAGUGGCGAAGGCGGCCUUCUGGGCCUUUCCUGACGCUGAGGCGCGAAAGCGUGGGGAGCGAACCGG
rnacentral:rRNA from 1 species